AGAGUGCGUAAUAGCUCACUGGUCAAGUGAUUCCGCGCCGACAAUGUAGCGGGGCUCAAGUUAUCCGCCGAAGCUGUGGCAACCUGUGUGGUUGGGUAGGGGAGCGUCGUGUCAGUGGUGAAGCUGCCGGGUGACUGUGUGGUGGAGUUGAUGCGAGUGAGAAUGCAGGCAUGAGUAGCGUGUGACGGGUGGGAAACCCGUCCGCCGAAUAUCCAAGGGUUCCAGGGUCAAGUUUGUCUGCCCUGGGUGAGUCGGGGCCUAAGGCGAGGCCGACAGGCGUAGUCGAUGGGUAACCAGUUGAUAUUCUGGUACCGGCUUGUCACCGUCCGUGUCGAGGUGUGUGAUGCUAAGCAUGUGAGCUUGUCUUGGGAGUGUUUUUGAUGCUUCUGGGGUGGGUGAGUGUGUGAACCGAUCAUGUAGUAGGCAAGCUGCGGAGGGACGCAGUGAGGUAGCUCAUCCCCGGUGAUGGUUGUCCGGGGCUAAGUGUGUGGACUGUCUGGUAGGUAAAUCCGCUGGGCGUGAAGGUUGAGGCAUGAUGGGGAGCCCACGGUUGUGGGUGAGUGAGUGAUCCUGUACUGUCGAGAAAAGCUUCGUGAGCGAGGUGGCGGGUCCGCCCGUACCCUAAACCGACACUGGUGGAUAGGUAGAGUAUACCGAGGCGAUCGAGUGAAUCGUGGUGAAGGAACUCGGCAAAAUGCCCCCGUAACUUUGGGAUAAGGGGGACCUGAGCUGUCGUGCACCCGUGCGGUGUGGUGGCGGUGAGGGGCGCAGAGUCCAGGGGGAAACGACUGUUUACCAAAAACACAGGUCCGUGCGAAGUCGUAAGACGAUGUAUACGGACUGACUCCUGCCCGGUGCUGGAAGGUUAAGGGGAACUGUGA
rnacentral:rRNA from 1 species